rnacentral:rRNA from 1 species
GACGAACGCUGGGGCGUGCUUAACACAUGCCAGUUGAACGGAAAGGCCCCGCCUUUUUUGGGUGGCUGAGUUGGCGAACGGGGAGUAACACGUUGGUUACCUUCCCCUGGCCUUGGGAUUACCUUCGGAAACUUGGGCUAAUUACCGAUAGGAACCUCUGCCGCCUGGUGGGGGUUGGAAAGUUUCGGCGGGUGGGGAUGGACUCGCGGGUUAUCAGCUUGUUGGUGGGGUUGUGGCUUACCAAGGCUUUGACGGGUAGCCGGCCUGAGAGGGUGACCGGCCACAUUGGGACUGAGAUACGGCCCAGACUCCUACGGGAGGCAGCAGUGGGGAAUAUUGCACAAUGGGCGGAAGCCUGAUGCAGCAACGCCGCGUGCGGGAUGACGGCCUUCGGGUUGUAAACCGCUUUCGCCUGUGACGAAGCGUGAGUGACGGUAAUGGGUAAAGAAGCACCGGCUAACUACGUG